GACGCUUCGUCCGAUUCUUCGGCGCAUCGUCCUUUCCUGCAGCCUAUUGCCCAAUCGGCCAGUUGACUCCGCAACUCCGAUAUCCCUGGCACAAUACCCGCUCUUCUUGGCCCGAUGCCCGAGUCUACGGCCCGAAGCCUUCUGUCGAUACGUCGACCGAUCCACCGGCCCGACGUCCAAUCUUCUGACAUGUUCCUCCGGCACAACAUGAU
rnacentral:lncRNA from 1 species